rnacentral:lncRNA from 1 species
GUAUGGGGGAAACCGCCCUCAUGAUUCAAUUUUCUCCACCUGAACCUGCCCUUGACACGCAGAGAUUAUUACAAUGCAAGUUGCAGUUGAUUGGCACCCAGGCCUGGAGUCAUCUGGGGGUUCUACGGAAAUGCCAGGACAGCUGGGCCUCUCUCCCUCUCCAUGUGGUCUCAGAGCCUCUCUAUGUGAUAUUGCCAUGUGGUUUCUCCAGAAAGAUAGUCUCACAAGGCAGUGCAGGAUCCCAACAAUACGUGUUCCAAGAGGGGGAAGCCAAAGCCCUCUUCAAGGCCAAGCCUGGGACUGGCACAACUUUGUUUCCGCAGCAUCUUCUUGGUCAAUUCAGUCUUAGGACCAGCCCAGAUUUGAUGAGUAGGAAAAUAAGCAUCACCUCUCAAUAGAGGAAGUGUUAAAGAAUGUGUAGCCAUCUUUGAUCCACCAUCAUGAAUUAAGACAGAGAAUAAGCCAUUUCCCAAUCCGAAGAGGAAUUGCAGAAAUAGAAAAGUUGAAUGAACUGGGCUGGGAUCUAAGCUCGCUACUUUCUCUGAGUCUCAGUUUUGUCAUUUACAAACUGGAGGUACUAAUUUAUUGAAUGUCCGCUACAUGCCAAGCACUAUGAUAGGUACCGGAAAUACAAUAAUGAACAUGACCCUGCUCCUAGGGAAAUUACAUUAUAAUGAGAGAAGUAGAUUGUUUAAAAGGGAACCACAUGGAUAAAUUAUAUGCUGCAGUAAGUUCUAUGAAGAAAAGAAGAGUGUGCUGAAAGAAAGAAGACCAGGUCUGGGAGGAGAGAAGCAGACUCCUCCAGGACCAGGAUAGAUCAAGAAAGGUCUAUCUCCAAGGUGGCAUUAAGCCAAGACCUGACUGCGAAGGAGGGCUUCAUCCUGAAGGGAGC